rnacentral:tRNA from 1 species
AAUGGAUUAAUUUCCUCCUUAGA